UUCUUCUAUUUUUCUUUCGGGAAUUGCAGUAUCCUGGGUUUUUACGCAGAGGAAAAAUCCUUAAUGGAACAAAGUUAUCAUCAUCAUGGGUCCUUCUCUUUUCAAAGAUUACAGGAGAAAAAUGAGGAUGGAACAGUGGAUGGAGAGUGUGGGUCGGUGUUUGGAGGAUUUAGAAUUCCUCGAAGUUUUUUGAGACUUCAAGCCAACCAGAAGAAAAGGAGUUCUGAUUACAGGGAACUUUUUUAGCACACUCAUGAUCAGUUGUCUGAUAGAAUGGAGAGCUUGGAGAAAGGAAAGAGCAAAAUCUCAAGGUAUUCACAGUUAGUUCUCAAUUUGAUUUAUUGUAUUUCAUAUUUCUAGAUAUUGCAGGAAAAGAAAGGGAUGGAUUUUGAAUUUUCAGUUUACUUGCAUGUGUAUGGACAGCGAGCAGCUCAUUACUUCAUCUGUCUUUUGCUUCUUUCUUUUUUUCACUGCAAUAAUAUCUGACGAGAUUUUGCAACCUCACCUAUGAUUUUGCAGCUUGAAAUGUUUGUGUUUUUGCCUUUGGAACUGUUGGUGGAAAUAUCUCUGCUGGGAGGGAAAAAACAGAGGCUGUUGUGGCUUUUCAUUUAAGAAAUCACCAAAGCAGACUGAUCCGCUCUCUAUUCUUGCUGUUGAUCUUUUUUCACGUAGAGAGUUUCCAGACUGUUAAAUUCAACAGUACAAAGAAAACUGAGUAUAUGUUGUUUCCUUUUGCCAAUCUCUUGCCUUCACUGCAUGCGUCUAUAUGCAAAUAUCUGUUCGACAA